rnacentral:rRNA from 1 species
UAGAUGCGAGAGUAGAGCAUAUCAAUAAGCGGAGGAAAAGAAACUAACAAGGAUUCCCUUAGUAACGGCGAGUGAAGCGGGAAGAGCUCAAAUUUGAAAUCUUCAAGGUUCUACCUUGACGAAUUGUAGUUUAAAGAAGUGUUUUCUGUUAGAUGAGUAGCAAAAGUUCCUUGGAAUGGGACAUCAUAGAGGGUGAGAAUCCCGUAUUUGGUUAUUCAUUCUAGCUUUGUGAUACACUUUCAAAGAGUCGGAUUGUUUGGGAAUGCAGUCCAAAAUGGGUGGUAAAUUUCAUCUAAAGCUAAAUAUUGGCGAGAGACCGAUAGCGAACAAGUACCGUGAGGGAAAGAUGAAAAGAACUUUGAAAAGAGAGUUAAACAGUACGUGAAAUUGUCAAAAGGGAAGCGUUUGACACCAGUGUUGUUUUUCCGAAAAUCAAUUACGAAUGGCUUGAUUUUGUGUUGUAUUGACCUUAUCAGCUUUCUGCACUUUUUUCGAGUCUUUCUUAAUGCACUUUUCGGUUAACAAGUCAACAUCAAUUUCUUUUGUUGUAAAAGAGUAUUCGGAAGGUGGCUUUCUUUUCGGAGAAAGUGUUUAUAGCCCUAUACUUCUACAAUCGGAGAGAUUGAGGUCUGCAGCGUAGAUCCUUCGGGGUUAGAUACACUUGUGCUAAGUUGUAGCUUUUCAUAGGACAACUUGUUGACUAUGUUUAGUCAUGCGGCUUACUCGCUUAGUGCUAUUUUACCUACGCUUAGGAUGUUGAGCGCAUGUCUCUCUCU